rnacentral:rRNA from 1 species
AAGGCGACUAUUACGAGUUUACAACUCCCAAACCCUGUGACAUACACUUGUUGCUCGGCGGAUCAGCCCGCUCCCGGUAAAACGGGACGGCCCGCCAGAGGACCCUAAACUCUGUUUCUAUAUGUAACUUCUGAGUAAAACCAUAAAUAAAUCAAAACUUUCAACAACGGAUCUCUUGGUUCUGGCAUCGAUGAAGAACGCAGCAAAAUGCGAUAAGUAAUGUGAAUUGCAGAAUUCAGUGAAUCAUCGAAUCUUUGAACGCACAUUGCGCCCGCCAGUAUUCUGGCGGGCAUGCCUGUUCGAGCGUCAUUUCAACCCUCAAGCACAGCUUGGUGUUGGGACUCGCGUUAAUUCGCGUUCCUCAAAUUGAUUGGCGGUCACGUCGAGCUUCCAUAGCGUAGUAGUAAAACCCUCGUUACUGGUAAUCGUCGCGGCCACGCCGUUAACCCCAACUUCUGAAUGUUGACCUCGGAUCAGGUAGGAAUACCCGUGAACUUAAGCAU